rnacentral:rRNA from 1 species
GACGAACGCUGGCGGUGUGCUUAACACAUGCAAGUCGAACGGUAAGGCCCUUUCGGGGGUACACGAGUGGCGAACGGGUGGGUAACACGUGAGUAACCUGCCCUCAUCUCUGGGAUAACAGUCGGAAACGGUUGCUAAUACUGGAUAUGAGCUUGCAAGGCAUCUUGUGGGUUGGAAAGAUUUUUUUGGUUGGGGAUGGACUCGCGGCCUAUCAGCCUGUUGGUGAGGUAGUGGCUCACCAAGGCUUCGACGGGUAGCCGGCCUGAGAGGGCGACCGGCCACAGUGGGACUGGGAUACGGCCCAAACUCCUACGGGAGGCAGCAGUGGGGAAGAUUGAACAAUGGACGGAAGUCUGAUGCAGCAACGCCGCGGGCGGGAUGACGGCCUUCGGGUUGGAAACCGCUUUCAAUUGUGACGAAGCUGUUUGUGACGGUAGCAGUAGAAGAAGCACCGGCUAACUACGUG